rnacentral:lncRNA from 1 species
CGGGUCCCAGGCCCGGGACACCGCAGCUCAGCUCCGCCAUCAAAAGGACUUUCCCUCAUCCCCCGCUACAGGAGCGGCCGGGACACAGGACGCGGCCAGGAUCUCGCCGGAUACAGACACGGGAUCCCCCAGUCGAGUUAAAGACAGAAGAAUCGUGUUCACAACCAAUAACGACAAAGUACCAAAGUCACACGCUGGAACUCCCGGGGAGCGGAAAAGCAGAAGCGGGCUGUACCACCUUUCCCGUCCCCGGAAGCCGGUUCGGGAGAAAGAGAGCGGGAGCCGGAGCCCGGGAGGAGGAGCCUCUCCCGUCUGCACUGGCAGCGGACGGACAAGACUCCCUCACGAUGGAGAUUUUUAUUCCCCGUUCUCGUAAAAAACCAACAUUCAGAACAACAGAAAGGAGAUUGUUCAAUAGCAAACAAGGGGCUUUUCAAGGCUCGCACCCACCCCGGUGGACCCCUCGCCACAGCAGAGCCGCGACAGAGGUCAGUGGUUGGAGAGGACUCGGCUUUCCUCGUGCACGGGCUUGGCUUUGGAUCAAGUGA